rnacentral:rRNA from 1 species
GACGAACGCUGGCGGCGUGCUUAACACAUGCAAGUCGAACGGAAAGGCCCUGGUUUUGUGGGGUGCUCGAGUGGCGAACGGGUGAGUAACACGUGAGUAACCUGCCCUUGACUUGGGGAUAACUUCAGGAAACUGGGGCUAAUACCGGAUAGGAGCUCCUGCUGCAUGGUGGGGGUUGGAAAGUUUCGGCGGUUGGGGUUGGACUUGCGGCUAAUCAGUUUGUUGGUGGGGUAGUGGCUUACCAAGGCUUUGAUGGGUAGCCGGCCUGAGAGGGUGACCGGCCACAUUGGGACUGAGAUACGGCCCAGACUCCUACGGGAGGCAGCAGUGGGGAAUAUUGCACAAUGGGCGGAAGCCUGAUGCAGCAACGCCGCGUGCGGGAUGACGGCCUUCGGGUUGUAAACCGCUUUCGCCUGUGACGAAGCGUGAGUGACGGUAAUGGGUAAAGAAGCACCGGCUAACUACGUG